GCCACCUGGGGAUCUUGUUAAAAUGCAGGUUCUGAUUCAGUAGAUCUGUGAUGGGGUCUGAGAUUCUGCAUUUCUAGCAAGUUCACAGCUGAGGCCAA
rnacentral:pre_miRNA from 1 species